AGCCCCAUUAAAUAUCUCUGCACUUCCCUUCUUUGUACAAGUUUCUUCAUUUUCAUAUCCAGUAUGCACAAUGGGGUUUGAUACUGGAUAUGAAAAUGAAGGAGCUUGUACAAAGAGGGGAAGUGUAGGGAGAUGCGAUGGGGCU
rnacentral:miRNA from 1 species